UGAGGUCAAAUGGUCGCCCACCGGUGGCAACUUCAUGUGAGCACCACAUUUUAUUCCCCUCUUCCAUCUCUCUCAAUCUCCUCUAUUGUAGGCGAGUCCGGUGGGGAUUGCCCGAACCACAGUAGGCGCGCACGCAUGCGGUUCAUGGGUGUGCAACUUCUUGUACACUUAGUCUAGUGCUGCAGUUUGAUUUGGAGGCGAUGCCAACCAUGACUCUAGAGGGAUAAGGAAGGUCACCGAAACCCAUAGUGCAACUCCCUCGUUGUUUAGCAUGCAGUUCGGUUCUUUUUUUGUAUUCAAAUUUACUGUGUGUCGAGGGUGCAAUUUUUUCCUGGUUGAAUCUCCGACGAAGUAUAGUGAUGUUCCAUUACAAUUAUUUUCUGUUGGUAGUAUAAGAAAUUCAGAACAGUACUCUCUUUUGAAGUCCACUACUCCUAUCCGGACAGCUCAUUAUAUUUUUAUUUUCAGAGUGUUCAUGCAAAAAAAGGCGAGAGUGAGUGUGUAAUUAUUCAAAAGAAAUGAGAUGUAGUUCAUUUGUAUGAACACUUAUUUUCUCUC
rnacentral:lncRNA from 1 species